rnacentral:sRNA from 1 species
AAUAUACCAUAAAUCAUUUAGACUAAUGUGUAGUUUUUUUUUUGGUUUUUUUUU